ACGAUACUCCCUCCGAUCCUAAAUUCUUGUCUCAAAUUUGCCCAAAUAUGGAUGUAUCUACUCUUAAAAGGCAUCUAGAUACAUGUAAUAUUUCGACAACAAUUUAGGAUCGGAGGGAGUAUGAU
rfam:Brachypodium distachyon strain Bd21 chromosome 4, whole genome shotgun sequence.